CGAACUCAUGAACCGUGAGAUCAUGACUUGAGCCUAAGUCGGAUGCUCUACCGACAUCACCCUAUUUAGAAAAUGGGGGGAACCGAGGUGCCGAACAAUUAAGUAACUUGCGCAAGGUCACGUACCUAGUCAAAGGCCAGGCUGACUCAGUCCCAGGCCACUUAACUGCACCACACAACACCUCCUCUGCCUGUGACGUUGGUGUUUUACAGCCCCGACUGGCACCUCUGGGAAGCUUCCUGGAGGAGAUGUCUGAAUCGUGAAAAAUGAAUACAAGUUUCUCCGGCAAAGGAGGAAGCAGGCUGCGGGGUGAGAGGAGUAUUCUAGCCUAAGGCGAUGUCAAAGUCUGGAAGCUGGGAAACAUGGACUCAAUUCUGAAAGCCAGGCGAGCCUCUAAAAGUCUCAAGGAUGACCAGACUUUGCUCUAGACACUCCUGCUCUCAUUUCUGGGUGUUUCUGAAAGCCACAGUGUGAAGGAUAGAGGCUCUGCAGAGAACAGCCAAGCGUCCCUUACUGUCUCUCUCUCUCUCUCUCCCUACCACGUACCUACCCUCCACAUCCACUAGUACCUUUGCUCAUUCAUUUGUUCACUGAUGCAACAUUAUUCAACAGCUGUUGAUGAAGUGCCUCUUCUGUGUCAGGAACUGCACCAGGUACCAACGUGACAAACAUGGACGAGGCACAGGUGAUGCCCUGAGAAGGACAGGGCUGCCGGGGGACACAGGCAUAUACUCACGGGACGGCACCGGAAGAGCUAUCCUGGGCUGCAGAUCGCCAAGAGUGGUUUUAAGAACCUACUUUGUAUCCAGCUGCCAGCACCUCACUCACGGUGAAUGAAUCUGAGAAACUCAACAGGAAUGCAAGGAGAAUCCUCAGUGAUAAUCUGGCUCUGUAGAUAUAUGAAGGCAGAUAAAUGGGACUACGAACAAAAUUUUCUUUUCCCUAGAGGACUACACAGG
ensembl:lncRNA